AGUGGUCACCGGGAAGGGGCCGGAGGAGGACGUGGUUGUCAUCACUACACCGGAGAAUACUCUAACUUCACUGACGUUAAACAUAGCGGCGUUCUACAGUUUCCGUUACUGAUCACUAGUUCCUUGGCGUCGAUUUAACUUUGCACCCGUUCUACAAGAUGUAGCCAAAGUUCUCGGUGUACAGCUGCUGCUCUCGGAUGCUCAUUAACAAUCAAAGGCUACACUCGAUGGCUACUUAAGGCAGAUUCCUUGGCUUCUCUUCAGCUCUAUCAUCCAUUUGGAGGCCAACACGAGAUGGAGACCAAGGCCCGGGGAAGGUGAUCUACUCGGCAAAAGGUCGACACACGCUUUGACUGGAUCAGGUAUCAUUUACAUGGUCAGGAAUAGACAUUAUCUUCGGAUCCUACAAGCACAGCGCAGGACGCACGCCUACCCUAGCCUGGGGCCAAGCCCGGCCCGUGCCCCAGUAACCAGGCAAGACUUCUCCAGGAUGCUUCGCGCCGCCAUCGCAGUGCUAGGCUCGCCUCCAGCUGAUUACGCCCCUCUAGAAUUGGCAGGGCCACUCGGUUGCCUCUCCAUUCGUCUCGGUACAAGUGUCGUUGCUGCUCUUUCUCAGGAUGCAGCUUCCCGCUUGGCUGCCUUAUCCUGCCUUGGCAAGAUCCCUGUUCAGGUCUCAAAAAACGCUCGGUUGAAUGCCAGUGUUGGCACUAUUCUC